AUGGGGAGGAUCAAACUACAGCUCCUCAGUCUGUUAGUGUUUCUGCUGUGGACCACAAGUCUGACUGAAGGCAGCGAUGUGACCCAGACUGACCUGCUGUGGGAAAAACAGGGAGACAAUGCAACCAUGAGCUGCACACACACAAAGGGUGCUCAAUACUACCAGAUGUACUGGUACCGACAGCUGCCAGGAGAAACUAUGGAGCUAAUCGUGUACACCACAACAGGGAUCAAGAAUCAUGACUUUGGAGAAUCCAGUAAGGAGAAGUUCUCAGCCACAAAGCCUGACGCUGAGAGUGGGACGUUCACAGUGAAGGAUCUGCAGCCCGGAGAUAAAGGCCUGUACUUCUGUGCUGUGAGUGAACACAGUGACACACACUCAGGAGGAGGCUGA